UACGAAGGGUGCAAGCGUUGUUCGGAAUCACUGGGCGUAAAGGGCGUGUAGGCGGUCCGCUAAGUCUGAUGUGAAAGCCCGGGGCUCACCCCCGGAAGUGCAUUGGAAACUGGCGGACUCGAGUCCCGGAGAGGAGGGUGGAGUUCCUGGUGUAGCGGUGAAAUGCGUAGAUAUCAGGAGGAACACCGGUGGCGAAGGCGGCCCUCUGGACGGUGACUGACGCUGAGACGCGAAAGCCAGGGGAGCAAACGGG
rnacentral:rRNA from 1 species